rnacentral:lncRNA from 7 species
UCAACAGGAGAAGUUCUAAGAGCUAUGUGGGAGAAUGAGAGAAAUUAGGUGUGAAAUGGAACAGGAGCAGUUCUAGUACACACGCAAGGAGGCACUUUUUACUACACCCUACAGGACAGCAGCAAUGAAGCACAUGGCUGGAGAACAGGCAGAUGGCAGGGACCACUCGUACAUCCAUGCAACACCAGCAAUGAUCACGUGGCUGGAAUCAACCCUGAAGAUGUAGCUUUCACUUCUCUGUAGUAUGACUGUUGUUGCUGUUGUUUUUCUUAUCUUGGCUUUUUGAAAUCCACAUCUUAUUUACCCAACUAGCAACAGAUAAAACAUCUCAUGGCAUCUUUACACUAAAAUGGAGAUACGCUAGGUAUGCAGUAGCAGAGUAAAGAGAUGUUUGGUAUAAGAGAAAACAUAAAUGCACUGACUCAUUCAGCACUCAUACACUCCAACUUGUAAUAUGUACACAGCUUCUGAUGGCCUAUGAAAGUACACAGAUAUUUAGUUAAAGGUGUGAGAAUAUAUGAAUAAGUUAGGUUCAAAAGUUACUGUGUCAAAUAUUGCAACUAAAAGCAGUGUAAGUAAUUGCUUACUGGCUAGUUUUGCAAACAUUAAUUUGGACAAUAGGAAGGAUUUCUUGAAGUAAAGCAUUGAAACAGGCUGCCAAGGGAAGAAGAUAACACAUCCUUCUUUUAUCCGUUCCUUCCAGUUUCCAUUCUUGCAGGGAUUUUUGGAAUUUUUUGGAAGAGAAGCUGAGGAGGGUUCCCUAGCCAAGCUUUCAGAAACUGCUGAGUGGUCUUCUAGAGAGAGACAGUGCUCUGGAGAUGGUCUGGAUGAUUUCACACUAGCCAAGAGCUGUGUUCAGGCUCUUUAUUCUCUGUUCUACUCAGUACACAAAAGGCAGCAAAUCCUCACCCAGCCACCCAACAAAAUUGGUCGUACGAGUCUAAAUGAAUUACAUUUGCUGCUGUAAUUAGUGAGGAGGGAGAGGAGUGCAAAGUCACCCAUAAAAUCCAGCUCUUAAAAUUGCACUCUGUAAAAAUGGUUGGAGUUGUCUGUAGCAUCUAAGGACGUGAUGAGGUGCUCUACUGAAUCAUUCCUGACCUCAAUUUCUGUGGGAAGCUGCGAGAAGGAAAUCUUUGCUAUUUUUGAAGGCUAGAUAUCUGGAGGGUAAGAGGCAGACUACCGAAAAGAAAGAAAAAAAAAACAACCAUGAAGCAUGAGAAUGUGCUGUAUUUGUGAUUCUUAUCAUGACACUGACUCAGCACUCAGAUUUUUUGGUGCUGUCAAAGAGAUGAAAUUGGGUGAGCCAACCUCCUCGCAUGUUGUUCCUGCCUCUACACAUCUCCAGUUUCCUCUGAGAGAACAAACUUGGGAAGUGGUUGAACAAGCCUGACAUGCAAAAUGUAUCCCAUGUCGCAGUGUGAUGUGGAAAAUGAUCAUCAUUAGAAUUAUACAUGCCGUAUUGCUUGCUGUAUCCCCCAAAGCAGUUAAAGAGCCAGGAGAGUAGGAGACUGUCAUUACUCUGUCUCCCUCCCUCUGCUGUGGAGCAUAAACCUCUGCCAGACACUCAGGCAGAACAAAACACUUAAUCAGUGUUAAGGAUGCAUCUGGUCUCCCCAGAGAGAUGUGCUGUUCAUUUAUGCUUGUUUACAAUAUGUUUAUAAACAUCAGUGGACAGGGAUAGAUUACCCC